rnacentral:rRNA from 1 species
ACGGGGCCCGCACAAGCGGUGGAGCAUGUGGUUUAAUUCGAUGAUACGCGAGGAACCUUACCUGGGCUCAAAUGUAUGUUGACGUAUUCUGAAAGGGAUACUUCUUCGGACAAUAUACAAGGUGCUGCAUGGUUGUCGUCAGCUCGUGCCGUGAGGUGUCGGGUUAAGUCCCAUAACGAGCGCAACCCCUAUCAUUAGUUGCCAUCAGGUCAAGCUGGGGACUCUAAUGAAACUGCCUACGCAAGUAGUGAGGAAGGUGGGGAUGACGUCAAAUCAUCAUGCCCCUUAUGACCUGGGCUACAAACGUGAUACAAUGGCUGGAACAAAGGGAUGCGAAGCAGUGAUGUGGAGCGAAACCCAUAAAAACAGUCUCAGUUCGGAUUGAAGUCUGCAACUCGACUUCAUGAAGUCGGAAUCGCUAGUAAUCGCGGAUCAGAACGCCGCGGUGAAUACGUUCUCGGGGUUU